rnacentral:rRNA from 1 species
GACGAACGCUGGCGGCGUGCCUAAUACAUGCAAGUCGAACGGAAAGGCCCUGCUCUUGCGGCGCGCUCGAGUGCCGCACGCGUGAGUAACACGCGUGUAACACGUCCCUGUCAUAGGGAUAACUUCACGAAAAUGCGGCUCUUACCGGAUAGGAGCUCUUGCUGCACGGUGGGCGUUGGAAAGUUUCGGCGGUUCGGGCUCGACUCGAGGCUUAUCAGCUUGUUUGUGGGGUAGUGGCUUACAAAGGCUUUGACGGCUAGCCUGCCUGGGAGGGUGACCGGCCACAAUGGGACUGAGAGACGGCCCAGAAUCCUACGGGAGGCAGCAGUGGGGAAUAUUGCACAAUGGGCGGAAGCCUGAUGCAGCGGCGCCGCGUGCGGGAUGACGGCCUUCGAGUUGUAAACCACUUUCGCAGUUGACGAAGCGUGAGUGACGGUAAUGGGUAAAAAAGCACCGGCUAACUACGUG